GAUGAACGCUGGCGGCGUGCCUAAUACAUGCAAGUCGAGCGAACGGACGAGAAGCUUGCUUCUCUGAUGUUUGCGGCGGACGGGUGAGUAACACGUGGAUAACCUACCUAUAAGACUGGGAUAACUUCGGGAAACCGGAGCUAAUACCGGAUAAUAUUUUGAACCGCAUGGUUCAAAAGUGAAAGACGGUCUUGCUGUCACUUAUAGAUGGAUCCGCGCUGCAUUAGCUAGUUGGUAAGGUAACGGCUUACCAAGGCAACGAUGCAUAGCCGACCUGAGAGGGUGAUCGGCCACACUGGAACUGAGACACGGUCCAGACUCCUACGGGAGGCAGCAGUAGGGAAUCUUCCGCAAUGGGCGAAAGACUGACGGAGCAACGCCGCGUGAGUGAUGAAGGUCUUCGGAUCGUAAAACUCUGUUAUUAGGGAAGAACAUAUGUGUAAGUAACUGUGCACAUCUUGACGGUACCUAAUCAGAAAGCCACGGCUAACUACGUG
rnacentral:rRNA from 1 species